rnacentral:rRNA from 1 species
AUGGCAUCGUGGAACGCCUGCGUGGGGACGAAUCGGGCGCGCUGGGCAGAGGAGUGGGAUGCCCGGGCAUUGGGUGACUGGUGGCCGCCCGAGGUCGGUGCCGACGAGCCUGUGACGAUGAGCGACGAGGAGGCGGUUGGCGAGGACGACGCCAAACAGUGGCAGCGGUCGGGGGAAGCCUGCAGCUCAGUGGAUCGACGGGGAAGACCCGAUCCAGAGGGAGGUGGCGACAGAGCUGACAAAUGUGGUGCUGGGUGGUCGCGCCGGCGUGUGGAUGUGGUGGCCGCUACAGCAGCACAGCUUCCUGGUGGGGGCCGGCGGCGGCGGCGCGGCUUCUUGGUGGGUGGACGGCGACGGCGGCGCGGCUUCCUGGUGGGUGGACAGCGGCGGCGGCGCGGGUCCCUGGUGGGGGACGGCGGCGGCGCGGGUCCCUGGUGGGGGACGGCGGCGGCGGCGCAGGUCCCUGGUGGGGGACGGCGGCGGCGGCGCAGGUCCCUGGUGGGGGACGGCGGCGGCGGCGCAGGUCCCUGGUGGGGGACGGCGGCGGCGGCGCGGGUUCCUGGUGGGUGGACGACGGCGGCGGUGCGGGUUCCUCGUGCGAGAGGGCGUUGA